rnacentral:ncRNA from 1 species
AUCAUGCGCGCUUGCGCAUCGCUCUCACCUCCCUGUUGGACUUCGCCGGGCCUCGUGCCCGGCUUUUUUU